GCCAGUGGUGAACUCCACAUCCGCAUCCUUUGCUGAGGAUACGGUUAACGGAGCGAAAGCGACGUUCAACCGCAAAACAAGCAGAGGGGGCUUAGUGGUGGGGUGACUGCGUACCUUUUGUAUAAUGGGUCAGCGACUUAUAUUCUGUAGCAAGGUUAACCGAAUAGGGGAGCCGGAGGGAAACCGAGUCUUAAUUGGGCGUUAAGUUGCAGGGUAUAGACCCGAAACCCGGUGAUCUAGCCAUGGGCAGGUUGAAGGUUGGGUAACACUAACUGGAGGACCGAACCGACUAAUGUUGAAAAAUUAGCGGAUGACCUGUGGCUGGGGGUGAAAGGCCAAUCAAACCGGGAGAUAGCUGGUUCUCCCCGAAAGCUAUUUAGGUAGCGCCUCGUGAAUUCAUCUCCGGGGGUAGAGCACUGUUUCGGCUAGGGGGCCAUCCCGGCUUACCAACCCGAUGCAAACUGCGAAUACCGGAGAAUGUUAUCACGGGAGACACACGGCGGGUGCUAACGUCCGUCGUGAAGAGGGAAACAACCCAGACCGCCAGCUAAGGUCCCAAAGUCAUGGUUAAGUGGGAAACGAUGUGGGAAGGCCCAGACAGCCAGGAUGUUGGCUUAGAAGCAGCCAUCAUUUAAAGAAAGCGUAAUAGCUCACUGGUCGAGUCGGCCUGCGCGGAAGAUGUAACGGGGCUAAACCAU
rnacentral:rRNA from 4 species